rnacentral:rRNA from 1 species
UACGUAGGUGGCGAACGUUAUCCGGAAUCACUGGGCGUAAAGGGUCCGUAGGCGGCUAUGCAGGUCUGGCGUGAAAGCUCUCGGCUAAACUGAGAGAGUGCGUUGGAAACCGCGUAGCUAGCAUCACGCAGGGGCUGGUGGAAUUCCGGGUGUAGCGGUGGAAUGCGUAGAGAUCCGGAAGAACACCGGUGGCGAAGGCGGCCUGCUGGGCAGUGGCUGACGCUGAGGCGCGACAGCGUGGGGAGCAAACAGG